rnacentral:tRNA from 1 species
UCCCAGGUGGCGCAGUGGUAAAGUAUCUGCCUGCCAAGGCAGGAGAUACAGGAGACCCAGGUUUGAUCCCUGACUUGGGAA